rnacentral:rRNA from 1 species
GAUGAACGCUGACAGAAUGCUUAACACAUGCAAGUCGACUCGAGUCUUCGGACUUGGGUGGCGCACGGGUGAGUAACGCGUAAAGAACUUGCCUCUUAGACCGGGACAACAUCUGGAAACGGAUGCUAAUACCGGAUAUUAUGGUUUUUUCGCAUGGAGGAAUCAUGAAAGCUAGAUGCGCUAAGAGAGAGCUUUGCGUCCCAUUAGCUAGUUGGUGAGGUAACGGCCCACCAAGGCAAUGAUGGGUAGCCGGCCUGAGAGGGUGAACGGCCACAAGGGGACUGAGACACGGCCCUUACUCCUACGGGAGGCAGCAGUGGGGAAUAUUGGACAAUGGACCACAAGUCUGAUCCAGCAAUUCUGUGUGCACGAUGACGUUUUUCGGAAUGUAAAGUGCUUUCAGUCGGGAAGAAGUCAGUGACGGUACCGACAGAAGAAGCGACGGCUAAAUACGUGCCAGCAGCCGCGGUAAUACGUAUGUCGCAAGCGUUAUCCGGAUUUAUUGGGCGUAAAGCGCGUCUAGGCGGCAAGGAAAGUCUGAUGUGAAAAUGCGGAGCUCAACUCCGUAUGGCGUUGGAAACUGCCUUACUAGAGUACUGGAGAGGUAGGCGGAACUACAAGUGUAGAGGUGAAAUUCGUAGAUAUUUGUAGGAAUGCCGAUGGGGAAGCCAGCCUACUGGACAGAUACU